UCUGCCCAGCACAAAGCUCAGCCCCUGCAGGGACAACACCAGGGCCAGCUCCCAUGGAGACCCCCAGGCUCCAAGUUACCAUGAUCAGGGAGUGGGGUCAGCCCCUGGGCGACCCCCUAAUCCCCUUUACAUGCCCCCUGUCCCAUCCAAUUAUCCAAACCGUGAUCGUCCAACAGACCUGUCCUCUCCCUGCUCGUCUGAGCUGCACUGUGGGAUUUCAAAUCAUUUCAAACAGACCCUCCUCUCCCUCCCCCCAGAAGGGCUGCGCUGCUUUGAGGCUGAUUAUUUUUAUUUUUAUUUUUUUCUUUUUCCCUGCAGCGUCUCUGCUACAUUUUGCAAACACCUAAUGGCUGCAGGGCUGUUGCAGAAUCCGGAUUCCUCCCGUUCUGCUGGAUUUUUGUGGUGCACAGACCCCCCCUAACCACCAAGGAUGGGGAGGGGAGGUGGGAAUUUAAUGCGAAUUUGAAAGCAGAGAAGAGCUGGGAUGCAAAAACCAGCAGCAGCUCCCGUGUGCUGAGAUGAUGGCUGGCACAGAGAGAACCCAGAGCAGCCAAAACAGGCUCGUUCCCGCUGGAGAGUGGGGAGUUCCUCGGAUACGGGCAGACAAAGCCCGAGCAUCCAGCUGGCACAGCUCCCCGCUGGAAGCCAGCAACUUGCUUUUUUUUGGUUUUCAUCCAUUCCCCCCCUCCACUGCUGAGGUUCCCCCGUGUAGAAAAGCUCCGGAGGGUGCAGGAUUGUGGAAUAACAGGGGAGGAAAGCAGGGAGGGAGAGGGUGCAGGCUGUAGGAUGGGGAUGGUGCCCUGUGUGCAGCAUCCCGGGGAAUUCGGGCUGGGCUCGCACAAACACCCGUGCUAUUAUUCUAACAAUCAGCCCCAAGCUGUUGCAAAGGGCUCUGAAGAAGUUCUGGCUGGUUUUUUGGGGGUUUUUUGUUUGGUUUUUUUUUUUUUUUUUCCCCUUCCUUGGUGCAAACGUGAGCUGCGAGGGCCAGACCUGAGCAGGUGGAGACCUGCUCUGCUCAGCCUGGCUCCAAAAUCCGGGGGAGCUACGCCCUGCCAGGCUGAUCCCGGCUUUAUCUGCACUGCACAACCCCACAAAGCUGUUUGCACAUCCCAGCCUGGGGGCACAGCGAGCAACAGCGGUUGCGUCAGGGCUGUUGCCUGGAGACAGGCGAGCUAUUCCAGUUGGAGCUUUUCAGCGCCGAUUUCCUCUCUCCCUCUCUCUCUUUCAUUCAUACCACCGAGCCCUGAACCCACCUCCCACCAAGCAAUAACCCUGGAGAGACCUGAAAAGGGAGGAGCUGCACAGCCCGGGUCCUAAACAUCCUCCGGCACCCAGGAGAGGAGGAAAAGCAGCGAUGCUUUCGGCGGGGAGAGCAGGGACGGAGGCUCCAGCGGAGGGCAGGCGCCCAAGGCUUGCAGGAGAUGCUCCCGAAGGAAUCUGUGCCUCUUCCCGACACCGUGCUGAUCGUGUUUCUUACCACGGACAUCAGCCCCACGAGGAGAUUGGGGUCCUCUGGCACUCGGGAGAGCUUUGGGAUGAAUUUUUCCAGAUUUAAGAUUUGCAUAUGCAAACUCAGCCUGGUGAUCAGCUCUUGCUGUGCUGCAGGGAGGCACCUGAAGGCUGAUGAUGAUGGAGAGGCACCAAGGGAGAUGGAAGAGCUCUUGCCUGAGUGUUAAAACUGUCUGGCAGAGAUCUACAGCUGCACAGGAGCUCUUAACAAGGAAUCACAGAAUCCCAGGAUGGGUGAGGUUGGAAGGCAUCACAGUGGGGUCAACUGGUCCCACUUCCCAACUCCAGCAGGGCAUCCCAGAGCUCAGGGCACAGGAUUCUGUCCAGAUCAUUCUGGAAUAUCCCAGUGAGGAAAUUCCAGCCCCUCUCUGGAAAAUCUGUUCAGUGCUUGGUCACUGCACACAUGUGCUGAGUUGAUGUGACCAGCAAUGUGAAUUCUGUCCCCAUCUGUUAACCCAGCUGGGGCAGUGCCCCUGAUCUCCUGGCACACAUUAUCUGCUCAUGGGCCAUCUUUAAACCAGCUGGGCAAUCAUCUUUAUCUUCCCACAGCCCAUCCUCCCUCCAGGAGAUAUCUCCUGUUAAUGGCCAGUGAGUCCCAGGGCAUGACUGAUAAAAUUCCAUCAUCCCACUGGGAGAUGCUCCAGCCAGGGGAGGAGCCAAGCCUUUCCUACCCAGAGAAAAACUGAGAUUUGGAACAGCAGAGCAGCCUUUGCCACUGGAUUCCAGAGGAAAACUGGACCUUUCCACAUCAUCCCUGGAGCUUCAGAGGAAACUGCACCUUCUCCAGGAGCACUGCUCCAGCUGAACCACAUCUGCCCCUGCAGGAGGAUGCAGCCACCAUUGAAUGGGACUGUGCCAACACCCUGACUGACUGACGGGUGUCAGCUUGGAUUCUGACUCUGGCAGGGUUGGGAUUGUUCUGUGUAAUACUGCAUUUCUAUUUUAAUUUUCCUAGUAGAUGAUUCUUUUUCCUUAUUCCCAUAUCUUUGCCUGAGAGCCCCUUAAUUCCAAAUUUAUAAAGAAAAUUUGGAGGGAGGGGGUUUCCAUUCUCCAUUUGAAAGAGAAGCUCCUGCCUUUAUUGGCAGACACCUGUCCUCCAAACCAGGACAACAGGGAAGUUCUUCCUCAUGUUCAGGUGGAACUUGCUGGGAUCAGUCCCUGCCCAUUCCUGUUAUCCUGUUGCUGGGUCCCACAGAGUAGAGCCUGGCCCAUCAAGCACUUGGAGGUUCAACAUUUUUGGCAGCUUCUCAUCCAAAUCAAAACUGAGUCUGUGCCCACAAACCAAACAGCACCAGGGAGCAGAGGGUGAAACAGCCCCUGGCCUGGUUUGGUGUGGGAUGAGCAAUCCCAAGACAUGGCUCAGGGCUGGGCCCCUUCCUGACAAACAAGCUGGAUUCAUCACCCAGAUUUGAUAGCCAGGAGUGCUGGCCACAGGGACAUGGCCAGACAGGGUCAGGAGCAGAGCCCAGGUCCAGCAGGGUGAGUUUACAGCAGAGGUGCUGCUCCCAAGGCUGGAUGUCUGUCUGUCUGUCUGUCUGUCUCCUCACAGGAACAGACCACACACUGCCACCCACUCCCUCUUCUGUAAAUGUUUAUUUUUAAUUCAGUUGUGUAAUGGAUUUCAAAUGAGCUGCCAUGAGAUAGCAGUGAAAGGCUGCAGCCUCAUCCCUCUGAAGCCAGUCCAUGGUUUGGUUUUUUUUUUUUGGCCUGGAUUUAUCUUGGAUUUAAAAAAAAAAUCCAAAAAAACCCUGGUGUGGAGCUGCUGAAGAAGAGUGGUGCUCCCACUGGUGAUGCUCUAACACCAACCCCGUGCAGUGGACACCUGGAAUUAGGUGUGAUCAGUCAAAAUAAACCUGUGCAGCACCAGCACUGCCCAC